GACGAACGCUGGCGGCGUGCCUAAUACAUGCAAGUAGGACGCAGUUGCGAACGGUUGAGUAACGCGUAGGUAACUACCUAUUAGAGGGGGAUAACUAUUGGAAACGAGAGCUAAUACCGCAUACUAGUAGAUGGACCUGCGUUGUAUUAGCUAGUAGGUAGGGUAAUGGCCUACCUAGGCAACGAUACAUAGCCGACCUGGCAGGGUGAUCUGCCACACUGGGACUGGGAGACGGGCCAGACUCCUACGGGAGGGAGCCGUAGGGAAUCUUUGGCAAUGGGGGGAACCCUGACCGAGCAACGCCGCGUGAGUGAAGAAGGUUUUCGGGUCGUAAAGCUCUGUUGUUCAGGAAGCGGUACUUAACCAGAAAGGGACGGCUAACUACGUGCCAGCAGCCGCGGUAAUUC
rnacentral:rRNA from 1 species